GGAUAGCUCAGUUGGUCAGAGCGUGGUGCUGAUUAUACCAAAGUUGCAGGUUCGAUCCCUGUAUGAGACA